rnacentral:rRNA from 1 species
UACGGAGGGUGCAAGCGUUGUCCGGAUUUAUUGGGUUUAAAGGGUGCGUAGGCGGCCCUGUAAGUCAGUGGUGAAAUACUGCAGCUUAACUGUAGCAUUGCCAUUGAUACUGUAGGGCUUGAGUACAGAUGAGGUAGGCGGAAUUGAUGGUGUAGCGGUGAAAUGCAUAGAUACCAUCAAGAACACCGAUUGCGAAGGCAGCUUACUAAGCUGUAACUGACGCUGAGGCACGAAAGCAUGGGGAUCGAACAGG